rnacentral:rRNA from 1 species
AAUAGAUACCCCGGUAGUCCACGCCGUAAAACGAUGAGUGCUAAGUGUUAGGAGGGUUUCCGCCCUUUAGUGCUGAAGUUAACGCAUUAAGCACUCCGCCUGGGGAGUACGGCCGCAAGGCUGAAACUCAAAAGGAAUUGACGGGGGCCCGCACAAGCGGUGGAGCAUGUGGUUUAAUUCGAAGCAACGCGAAGAACCUUACCAGGUCUUGACAUCCUCUGACAACCCUAGAGAUAGGACUUCUCCUUCGGGAGCAGAGUGACAGGUGGUGCAUGGUUGUCGUCAGCUCGUGUCGUGAGAUGUUGGGUUAAGUCCCGCAACGAGCGCAACCCUUGAUCUUAGUUGCCAUCAUUUAGUUGGGCACUCUAAGGUGACUGCCGGUGACAAACCGGAGGAAGGUGGGGAUGACGUCAAAUCAUCAUGCCCCUUAUGACCUGGGCUACACACGUGCUACAAUGGACGGUACAAAGAGCUGCAAGACCGCGAGGUGGAGCUAAUCUCAUAAAACCGUUCUCAGUUCGGAUUGUAGGCUGCUAACC